rnacentral:rRNA from 1 species
UGAAAAGAGAGUUAAACAGUAUGUGAAAUUGUUAAAAGGGAACCGUUUGGAGCCAGACUGGCUUGAUCGUAAUCAAUCUAGGUUUCGACCUGGAUGCACUUGCGGUCUAUGCCUGCCAACGACAGUUCUUUCUGAAGGAUAAAACUAGGAGGAAUGUGGCCCCUCGGGGUGUUAUAGCCUCUUAGAUAAUACUUUGGAUGGGACUGAGGAACGCAGUGAAUGCUUAUGGCGAAAUUGCUAGGCGCUUUUGUUGAUAGAUGUUAGAAUUUCUACUUCGGGUAGUGCUGAUGUCUAAAGGUAAAACUCGUUUGGUUAAUUUUCUAUUCACUUAGGUUGUUGGCUUAAUGACUCUAAAUGAC